rnacentral:lncRNA from 1 species
AGCAGCCCAGCUAGCGGGCGGUUCAAUUCGAUUCUUCAUCCGCUGCUUAAUUUGCGGCCGGGGGCGCGCCGCCGCUCAUCGAUCGGCUCAUACCAUAUAUGGAUCGAGUUGUGUGGAGGUUCUCUCUUUUCCCAGCUGGGAAGCCAAAAGCUAGUAGCUCCCAACCUGAAACUUGCAGUAUGAAAUUCGAUCUCGAUCUUUUUUCAGAGUUCUUGUACUGUUAUCUGAUACUACCUGAUCAAUUAGAUAUCUUUGAUUUGGAAGUUUUGAUCAAUCAUGCUGGACUAGAACCUCUAGCUAGGAGCCGGCGUCAGGAUGACGUGUUUGCACAGGGGACCAGCAAGUACAAAGAAAUUUAAUUACUUGCUUUCUUUGUUCUUGUAGUUAGCUAACUGCGAUGGUACGUACGUGAAUGGUGACUCGUCAAAGCUCAUCCAAAUAUUGCUGCAGCCUGCGUGGGGGAAAUGACAAGGAAAUUUGUUAUAUAUUAACCUAUCAAAUUAAGGUUUUAAUGCCUACGUGGAUUACAGAACACGCCGGGAAAAGACGUACGACCUCUUCAAUAUUAAGGUAAAAAACGAAUAAUUAGACAUGGUCAACUGCCUUGGGGGAGACGUAUGUGUCACCCUAGCUCGCUCCACCUGCUUGCUUCGCAAGGACGAAAUAGUUACCGUGUGCGUUCUGGGUACGCCAUGAGUUCAAAUCGAAAAUAUCAAGCAAAAAAUAUCUUGAUUAAUGGAUAAUAUAUAGUAAGUUAAAAUAUUUAAGUCAAGAUUUGCUUCGGUCCAACAAAAUAUACUUUAGGUACCAAAUCGUUUUUCACCAUUAAAUCUAGCUGAAUAGAACGUGCACUGUUAGAUCCAACAAUCAGAAAUAAUUUGGUAUAACCAGAUACCAAUACUUCGAGGUAUUUUUUGUUGGACCAAAGCAAAUCUCAUUUAAGUCGGUUUACUUUGUAAUUAAAUCUAUAAAAGUCGGUGAGGCUUCUUCAGGAACAAGCAAGCUUGGCUGUAUACAUCCGGCCGGAAGAUCUCGGAGAAGCUACAGUAAGAGAACAUCGAUCAUAUAUAUCUGUUGCCGGCAAUGGCUUCAUGGAUGACUUGCAUAGGGUUCGGGUUCUUAACCCUAAAUUCAGUACUAGCAAUCCACAGAUCGCAUGGAGAUCUCGCCGGCAUAGCGUUCGUUGCCACGACGUAUCUCAGCCUCCUGCUGCUGUUCUGGU